UACGAAGGUCCCAAGCGUUAUCCGGAUUUAUUGGGUUUAAAGGGUGCGUAGGCGGUCUAUUAAGUCAGUGGUGAAAGCCCCAAGCUCAACUUGGGAACUGCCAUUGAUACUGAUGGACUUGAGUACAUUUUGAGGUGGGCGGAAUGUGUCAUGUAGCGGUGAAAUGCUUAGAUAUGACACAGAACACCGAUUGCGAAGGCAGCUCACUAAACUGUAAACUGACGCUGUGGCACGAAAGCCGUGGGGGAGCGAAA
rnacentral:rRNA from 1 species